UGGGAUGUCGCUCAGCAGUAUAGCACUUGCCUACCAUGCAAGAGCCCUUGGGUUCAAUCCCUAGUACCACAA
rnacentral:tRNA from 1 species